rnacentral:rRNA from 1 species
UACGUAGGCGGUUAAAUAAGUCAGGUGUAAAAGGCAUUGGCUCAACCAAUGUAAGCACUUGAAACUGUUUGACUUGAGUAUAGGAGAGGUAAGUGGAAUUCCUAGUGUAGCGGUGAAAUGCGUAGAUAUUAGGAGGAACACCAGUGGCGAAGGCGACUUACUGGACUAUUACUGACGCUGAGGCGCGAAAGCGUGGGGAGCAAACA